UACCUGGUUGAUCCUGCCAGUAGUCAUAUGCUUGUCUCAAGAUUAAGCCAUGCAUGUGUAAGUAUGAACUAAUUCAGACUGUGAAACUGGCGAAUGGCUCAUUAAAUCAGUUAUAGUUUUGUUUGAUGGUACCUACUACUCGGAUAACCGUAGUAAUUCUAGAG
rnacentral:ncRNA from 1 species